GACGAACGCUGGCGGCGUGCUUAACACAUGCAAGUCGAGCGGUAAGGCCCUUUCGGGGGUACACGAGCGGCGAACGGGUGAGUAACACGUGGGUGACCUGCCCUCAGCUCUGGGAUAAGCCCGGGAAACUGGGUCUAAUACCGGAUAUGACUCCAUGACGCAUGUUGUGGGGUGGAAAGCCUUGUGCGGCUGAGGAUGGGCCCGCGGCCUAUCAGCUUGUUGGUGGGGUGAUGGCCACCAAGGCGACGACGGGUAGCCGGCCUGAGAGGGCGACCGGCCACACUGGGACUGAGAUACGGCCCAGACUCCUACGGGAGGCAGCAGGUGGGGAAUCUUGCGCAAUGGGCGAAAGCCUGACGCAGCGACGCCGCGUG
rnacentral:rRNA from 1 species